rnacentral:rRNA from 1 species
CAGGGAAUCUUGCACAAUGGGCGAAAGCCUGAUGCAGCGACGCCGCGUGGGGGAUGAAGGCCUUAGGGUCGUAAACCCCUUUCAGCAGGGACGAAAAUGACGGUACCUGCAGAAGAAGCCCCGGCCAACUACGUGCCAGCAGCCGCGGUAAGACGUAGGGGGCGAGCGUUGUCCGGAUUUAUUGGGCGUAAAGAGCUCGUAGGCGGUUGCGUAAGUCGGAUGUGAAAACUCAGGGCUCAACCCUGAGACGCCAUCCGAUACUGCGCUGACUUGAAUCCAGUAGGGGAGUGUGGAAUUCCUGGUGUAGCGGUGAAAUACGCAGAUAUCGAGAAGAAUACCAGUAGCGAAGGCGGCUUCCUGGUCUGUAACUGACGCUGAGGCACGAAAGUGUGGGUAGCAAACAGGAUUAGAUACCCCGGUAGUCCCUGAGCGGGCUGGCAAGGCGCAU